GUACGCCUAUUCUAGCAAGACUGGUUGAGGUGUCUGAGCCCCGCCGACCCUUUCCCGGGGAAACACGUAGAGGCUGGUACCCGGGCGCGGGAGACGCUCACCCCCUGUUCCCGUGAAGGACUGCCCUUCGGAACAAGUCGGCGCCAGAAGAUCAGUGGUGUUCCAAGUGACAUCUUUUCCCUCCAAGAGGGCAUUUGGCAGUGUCUGGAGAUUUUUUUUUUGGCUGUGACAACCAGGAGGUGCCGACUGUCCCCUAUAUGGGAAGGUCAAGGUUGUGUGACCUGGGACCUAAGACUUCUGAGGUCAUAGCUGGGAUGUUCCAACGUGCCUCCCUGAAGCACUGAGCCUGGAUGAAAGCAUCUGCAGAUAACAGCUCCUACCUGAAUAAGGCCCGCUCCAUGAUGAUCUAUUUGUCCCAGGGAAUAGACGAUGGCAGGAAGGGAUCAAACCUCUCCAUAUCCCCUGCAUUGCAAGACAGAUUGAUUCUUAACCACUGGACCACCAGGGAAG
ensembl:lncRNA